AAGCUACUCCCUCCGUUCGGGAUUACUUGUUGCACAAAUUGAUAAAAAUGGAUGUAUCUAGGACUGAAAUACAUCUAGAUACAUCCAUUCCUAUGACAAGUAUUUCCGGACGGAGAGAGUAUAUC
rfam:Hordeum vulgare subsp. vulgare, WGS project CAJW01000000 data, contig: morex_contig_43103